rnacentral:rRNA from 1 species
GGGGGUACGUUAUCGGCAUAUUGGGCGUAAGCGCGCGCAGGCGGUCUCUUAAGUCUGAUGUGAAAGCCCACGGCUCAACCGUGGAGGGUCAUUGGAAACUGGGAGACUUGAGUGCAGGAGAGAAAAGUGGAAUUCCACGUGUAGCGGUGAAAUGCGUAGAGAUGUGGAGGAACACCAGUGGCGAAGGCGGCUUUUUGGCCUGUAACUGACGCUGAGGCGCGAAAGCGUGGGGAGCAAACAGGAUUAGAUACCCUGGUAGUCCACGCCGUAAACGAUGAGUGCUAGGUGUUGGGGGGUUCCACCCUCAGUGCUGAAGUUAACACAUUAAGCACUCCGCCUGGGGAGUACGACCGCAAGGUUGAAACUCAAAGGAAUUGACGGGGGCCCGCACAAGCAGUGGAGCAUGUGGUUUAAUUCGAAGCAACGCGAAGAACCUUACCAGGUCUUGACAUCCUCUGACCACUCUAGAGAUAGAGCUUUCCCCUUCGGGGGACAGAGUGACAGGUGGUGCAUGGUUGUCGUCAGCUCGUGUCGUGAGAUGUUGGGUUAAGUCCCGCAACGAGCGCAACCCUUGACCUUAGUUGCCAGCAUUCAGUUGGGCACUCUAAGGUGACUGCCGGUGACAAACCGGAGGAAGGUGGGGAUGACGUCAAAUCAUCAUGCCCCUUAUGACCUGGGCUACACACGUGCUACAAUGGAUGGUACAAAGGGUUGCGAAGCCGCGAGGCCAAGCCAAUCCCAAAAAGCCAUUCUCAGUUCGGAUUGUAGGCUGCAACUCGCCUACAUGAAGCCGGAAUUGCUAGUAAUCGCGGAUCACAUGCCGGGGGGAAAAACCUUUCCCGGGGCCUUGUACACACCGCCCGUCACACCACGAAGAGUUUGUAACACCCGAAGUCGGUGGGGUAACCCUUUUUGGGAGCCAGCCGCCGAAGGUGGGACAGAUGAUUGGGUGAUCAGAAAAAAACCCCCCCCACACACACAUAAAAAAAAGGGGUCGGAAAG